GGAUUCUGUUGGCCUCCUUGACCACAAGGGCACACUGCCGGCUCACGGACAGCUCCUUGCCCAUCAGGGUCCCCGACGUCGUUCUCCGCAGCCACCCAGAAAUACGCAAUUCCCGGCGUUUUCAUCUUCAACUCUGGAUUUGCUCUUCCUGAGAUUUCACUGCCCACUACCAGAGAUGAAGGCUGUUACUACGCGACUCUUCGUACAGGUUUCACUGCAGCCAAAAAUACCUGCAGCACACACUGCCUCUCCCUGCCUCCACGACCCAGCACCAUGCCUUGGUAGGUCACAGUGGGUUGCCAACCAGUUGCAUGUUGUAUGUGAUACCCCUGAGGGAAAAGAAGGCUGAGAAGCUCCUGGAAGAUAUGGAUGUACCUGAGACAUGGCAAGGUGACAGAGGUUGCGUCCAAGUGCCACGGCUCUUCCCACAUCAUCUGAUGCUAGAAAGUUUUCUCCUGUCAGCAGAUAAACCAUUGC